rnacentral:rRNA from 1 species
UGGGGAAUUUUGGACAAUGGGCGAAAGCCUGAUCCAGCAAUGCCGCGUGUGUGAAGAAGGCCUUCGGGUUGUAAAGCACUUUUGUCCGGAAAGAAAUCCUUGGCUCUAAUACAGUCGGGGGAUGACGGUACCGGAAGAAUAAGCACCGGCUAACUACGUGCCAGCAGCCGCGGUAAUACGUAGGGUGCAAGCGUUAAUCGGAAUUACUGGGCGUAAAAGCGUGCGCAGGCGGUUUGCUAAGACCGAUGUGAAAUCCCCGGGCUCAACCUGGGAACUGCAUUGGUGACUGGCAGGCUAGAGUAUGGCAGAGGGGGGUAGAAUUCCACGUGUAGCAGUGAAAAUGCGUAGAGAUGUGGAGGAAUACCGAUGGCGAAGGCAGCCCCCUGGGCCAAAUACUGACGCUCAUGCACGAAAAGCGUGGGGAGCAAAACAGGAUUAGAUACCCUGGUAGUCCACGCCCUAAAACGAUGUCAACUAGUUGUUGGGGAUUCAUUUCCUUAGUAACGUAGCUAACGCGUGAAAGUUGACCGCCUGGGGAGUACGGUCGCAAAGAUUAAAACUUAAAUGAAUUGACGGGGUCAUAGCUG